rnacentral:rRNA from 1 species
CCUACGGGAGGCAGCAGUGAGGAAUAUUGGUCAAUGGGCGGAAGGCUGAACCAGCCAAGCAGCGUGAAGGAUGAAGGUGCCAAGGAUUGUAAACUGCUUUUGCACAGGGACAAAAUCAGCCACGUGUGCCGGACCGCGGGUACCUGGAGAAUAAGCGUCGGCUAACUCCGUGCCAGCAGCCGCGGUAAUACGGAGGACGCGAGCGUUAUCCGGAUUUAUUGGGUUUAAAGGGUGCGUAGGCGGACGGUUAAGUCAGCGGUAAAAGCGCGGGGCUCAACCCCGGCGCGCCGUUGAAACUGGGUGCCUUGAGUUGUCGACAGGCAGGCGGAAUGCGUGGUGUAGCGGUGAAAUGCUUAGAUAUUGCGCAGAACCCCGAUUGCGAAGGCAGCCUGCCGGCG